rnacentral:rRNA from 1 species
AUCUUAAACACUUGUUACAUGGCACCUGAUCUUUAUUACAUUUCUAGUGGCGGACGGGUGAGUAACACGUUGGAAACCUGCCCCAAAGUGAGGAAUAAGCCACCGAAAGGUGGUCUAAUACUUCAUAAUAUCCAUCUCGUAUGGAUUAAAGCUUUAUGCGCUUUGGGAGGGGCCUGCGUAACAUUAGCUUGUUGGUGAGGUAAAAGCUCACCAAGGCUUCGAUGUUUAACUGGUUUGAGAGGAUGACCAGUCACACUGGGACUGAGAUACGGCCCAGACUCCUACGGGAGGCAGCAGUAAGGAAUCUUCCACAAUGGGGCAACCCUGAUGGAGCAAUACCGCGUGCAGGAUGAAGCGUUUCGGCGUGUAAACUGCUUUUAUCACCGAAGAUUAUGACUGUAGGUGAAGAAUAAGGACCGGCUAACUACGUG